GGCGGCCUAAUACAUGCAAGUCGAGCGAACAGAUAAGGAGCUUGCUCCUUUGACGUUAGCGGCGGACGGGUGAGUAACACGUGGAUAACCUACCUAUAAGACUGGGAUAACUUCGGGAAACCGGAGCUAAUACCGGAUAACAUAUUGAACCGCAUGGUUCAAUAGUGAAAGGCGGCUUUGCUGUCACUUAUAGAUGGAUCCGCGCCGUAUUAGCUAGUUGGUAAGGUAACGGCUUACCAAGGCAACGAUACGUAGCCGACCUGAGAGGGUGAUCGGCCACACUGGAACUGAGACACGGUCCAGACUCCUACGGGAGGCAGCAGUAGGGAAUCUUCCGCAAUGGGCGAAAGCCUGACGGAGCAACGCCGCGUGAGUGAUGAAGGUCUUCGGAUCGUAAAACUCUGUUAUCAGGGAAGAACAAAUGUGUAAGUAACUGUGCACAUCUUGACGGUACCUGAUCAGAAAGCCACGGCUAACUACGUGCCAGCAGCCGCGGUAAUACGUAGGUGGCAAGCGUUAUCCGGAAUUAUUGGGCGUAAAGCGCGCGUAGGCGGUUUUUUAAGUCUGAUGUGAAAGCCCACGGCUCAACCGUGGAGGGUCAUUGGAAACUGGAAAACUUGAGUGCAGAAGAGGAAAGUGGAAUUCCAUGUGUAGCGGUGAAAUGCGCAGAGAUAUGGAGGAACACCAGUGGCGAAGGCGACUUUCUGGUCUGUAACUGACGCUGAUGUGCGAAAGCGUGGGGAUCAAACAGGAUUAGAUACCCUGGUAGUCC
rnacentral:rRNA from 1 species